GCACAUCCUCACUUAGGUUAAGCUUCUCUUUGUUUAGCUGCUCCUUUCUGCUCACUUGUGAAACUGCAAAAGGAACAGGGAUGGACCUGUGAGAUGUUGGAAGAAGAGGAACAAAAAGAAGAAGAGAAAGAAGAUGAUGAAGCAUGGAGCAAAUGUCUGAGAAUCCCUAACAAGAAAGAGCUGCCAUUCUUCAGAUGCUCAGUGGGUUGGCUGAAGGAGAGAUGGAGUUGUGCCCAGAUCUAGCAGCCCCAGGUCCCUCAGCUCCUUAUCAGGCAGUGCUCCAGUCUCCU